rnacentral:lncRNA from 1 species
GUAGGAGCGCCUCUUGAGGGGCGUUGCAAAGCAACUUAUACCUUGUGCCACCAUAUGCGGGUGGCCGCCUGGGUCGGCCUUGAUAGUGUAAUUUUUCACUUCAGGGUGCAAUAAAUUUGGAUUGAGGGGGAUUUUACCACCGUAAUAUCUUGGAUUAACUCACAUUCUACGUUCAAGGAUGCAAAAAAUCCGUUAUUGAAGGAC